AAUGCAAUUGUUGCUAAUGAGUUUUUGGGGCACAGUUGGAGUCAUAUUCCGGCAAACUCAAACUCAUCAGAUUCCCUAGGAGUUCAAUUUAUGAAAAGUCGUGGGUUCUUCCCAAAUGCAUAUUGGUAUUGGUUAGGAGUGGGUGCAUUGGCAGGAUUCAUGCUAGUAUUCAACUUAUGUUUCACUCUUGCUCUCACUUUCCUUAACCGUGAGCGUCAUUAUCUUCUCAAUUCAUGCUUUCUGAAAAUGAGAGCUUAUUCUAAUAUAUUGGAAAUAAUAUUUGGCAGCAUUUGAGAAGCCUCAGGCUGUUAUAUUUGAUGAGCCUGAACCCAGUGACAGACUUGAAAGCAGUCACAGAACCAACACAGAGAAUGAGACAAGCGGAAUUGAUGAGUUGAAGCAUAACAAGAAAAAAGGAAUGAUUCUUCCAUUUAAGCCACAUUCUAUCACCUUUGAUGAUGUUAUAUAUGCUGUUGAUGUGCCACAGAUAUCAGAAGUUACGAAAAUAGAACCAUAUAUUUCUUUCAUUGUGACAUGGUCAAAAGAAUAACAGAACUUGAUCUUAUUAAAUUGAACUUACAGGAAAUGAGAAAUUAGGAAAUUGCUGAAGAUAAAUUGGUGCUAUUUAAGGGUGUGAGUGGUGCUUUCAGG
rnacentral:misc_RNA from 1 species